ensembl:misc_RNA 7SK 7SK RNA
GGAUUGAGGGUGAUCUGUCUGUGACAUCUGUCACCCCACUGAUGGCCAGGGUUGAUUCGGCUGAUCUGGCUGGCUAGGCGGGUGUCCCCCUCCUCCCUCACUGCUCCAUGUGCAUCCCUCUGAAGCUGCUGCUUGGUUGAAGAGGAUGACCAUCCCCAAUAGAGGAGGACUGGUCUUUGGUCAAGGGUAUACGAGUAGCUGUGCUCCCCUGCUAGAACCUCCAAACAAGCUCUCAAGAUCCAAGAGAAGCCAUAUUGCCUCUCCUUCAAUAUAAAUAAAUAUAAAACAACAGGUUUU